AUUGAACGCUGGCGGCAGGCCUAACACAUGCAAGUCGAGCGAGCGGCGGACGGGUGAGUUAUGUCUGGGAAACUGCCUGAUGGAGGGGGAUAACUAUUGGAAACGGUAGCUAAUAUCGCAUACCAUACGAUGUGCCCAGCGGGGAGUAGCUGGUAGGUGGGGUAACGGCUCACCUAGGCGACGAUCCCGAGCUGGUCUGAGUGGAUGACCAGCCACACUGGAACGUAGACACGGGCCAGACUCCGACGUGAGGCAGCAGUGGGGAAUAUUGCACAAUGGGCGCAAGCCUGAUGCAGCCAUGCCGCGUGUGUGAAGAAGGCCUUCGGGUUGUAAAGCACUUUCAGCGGGGAGGCGUUACCCGCAGAAGAAGCACCGGCUAACUCCGUGCCAGCAGCCGCGGUAAUAC
rnacentral:rRNA from 1 species